rnacentral:rRNA from 1 species
GAUGAACGCUGGCUACAGGCUUAACACAUGCAAGUCGAGGGGAAACGACGGGGAAGCUUGCUUCCCCGGGCGUCGACCGGCGCACGGGUGAGUAACGCGUAUCCAACCUGCCUCUGACUGAGGGAUAACCCGUCGAAAGUCGGCCUAAUACCUCAUGGUAUCGUCUGCGGGCAUCCAACGACGAUUAAAGAUUUCAUCGGUCAGGGAUGGGGAUGCGUCUGAUUAGCUUGUUGGCGGGGUAACGGCCCACCAAGGCUACGAUCAGUAGGGGUUCUGAGAGGAAGGUCCCCCACAUUGGAACUGAGACACGGUCCAAACUCCUACGGGAGGCAGCAGUGAGGAAUAUUGGUCAAUGGGCGAGAGCCUGAACCAGCCAAGUAGCGUGCAGGAAGACAGCCCUAUGGGUUGUAAACUGCUUUUAUGCGGGGAUAAAGUGAGGGACGUGUCCCUCAUUGCAGGUACCGCAUGAAUAAGGACCGGCUAAUUCCGUG